AUGGACGUCAUGUCCCCGCAACAGGAGCACCUCGGGCCCAGCCGAUCGUCCUCGGUGAGCGGCGAGAGCAGAGCGUUCGCCGCCGCCGACGGGAAGAAGCAAAAAAUGAAGAGUUUGGCCCAAAGACGCCAGUCUGCACCAUCCUUGAUCUUCGUCAAAGCACUUAACAGAUCUAGAUCUGUCUCAAGAAUUUCAGAAGCUUGUGGAAGUAUUUUGUGGAAACAUCAGAGUUGCAAAAUAGGAAAGGAAAAUGAGUAGAAACGACUUGCACGUCUUUUUACUGGCUGUGACUUGAAAGAGGAAGCUGAGAACUGAAUUUCUAAAGGUGUUUGCACCUUUUUGUGUAGUCUACUGGCCUCAGCUUAGGGCUGUGAGCCAGCAGCAUGUUCUGGUUCUGGCUGUAAAAUCUGUUCUGCGACCUCUUUUUUACUUUGUUUCCCGGUCUUUAAAAUAAAUGGAAUUGGUGUUCUGUAACCCCUUCA
rnacentral:lncRNA from 1 species